rnacentral:rRNA from 1 species
UUAAGCGACCAAGCGUACACGGUGGAUGCCCUGGCAGUCAGAGGCGAUGAAGGACGUGCUAAUCUGCGAAAAGCGCCGGUAAGGUGAUAUGAACCGUUAUAACCGGCGAUGUCCGAAUGGGAAACCCAGUGUGACUCGUCACACUAUCAUUAACUGAAUCCAUAGGUUAAUGAGGCGAACCGGGGGAACUGAAACAUCUAAGUACCCCGAGGAAAAGAAAUCAACCGAGAUUCCCCCAGUAGCGGCGAGCGAACGGGGAGGAGCCCAGAGCCUGAUCAGCAUGUGUGUUAGUGGAAGCGUCUGGAAAGGCGCGCGAUACAGGGUGAGAGCCCCGUACACAAAAGCGCACGUGCUGUGAGCUCGAUGAGUAGGGCGGGACACGUGGUAUCCUGUCUGAAUAUGGGGGGACCAUCCUCCAAGGCUAAAUACUCCUGACUGACCGAUAGGUGAACCAGUACCGUGAGGGAAAGGCGAAAAGAACCCCGGCGAGGGGAGUGAAACAGAACCUGAAACCGUGUACGUACAAGCAGUGGGAGCCCCACCACUAAGCCAGUGGUGAACUCCACAUACGCAUCCUUUUGCUGAGGAUACGGUUAACGGAGCGAAAGCGACGUUUAACCGCAAAAGAAGCAGAGGGGGCUUAGUGGUGGGGUGACUGCGUACCUUUUGUAUAAUGGGUCAGCGACUUAUAUUCUGUAGCAAGGUUAACCGCAUAGGGGAGCCGGAGGGAAACCGAGUCUUAAUUGGGCGUUAAGUUGCAGGGUAUAGACCCGAAACCCGGUGAUCUAGCCAUGGGCAGGUUGAAGGUUGGGUAACACUAACUGGAGGACCGAACGACUAAUGUUGAAAAAUUAGCGGAUGACCUGUGGCUGGGGGUGAAAGGCCAAUCAAACCGGGAGAUAGCUGGUUCUCCCCGAAAGCUAUUUAGGUAGCGCCUCGUGAAUUCAUCUCCGGGGGUAGAGCACUGUUUCGGCCAGGGGGCCAUCCCGGCUUACCAAUCCGAUGCAAACUGCGAAUACCGGAGAAUGUUAUCACGGGAGACACACGGCGGGUGCUAACGUCCGUCGUGAAGAGGGAAACAACCCAGACCGCCAGCUAAGGUCCCAAAGUCAUGGUUAAGUGGGAAACGAUGUGGGAAGGCCCAGACAGCCAGGAUGUUGGCUUAGAAGCAGCCAUCAUUUAAAGAAAGCGUAAUAGCUCACUGGUCGAGUCGGCCUGCGCGGAAGAUGUAACGGGGCUAAACCAUGCACCGAAGCUGCGGCAGCGAACGUAUCACCCAAGACAACUUUGCACAGUUGACGACUGACGGAGCGAAGCGACGUCAAAGCGUUUUACAACGUCGAGUUGGCUUAGGGAUACGUUCGUUGGGUAGGGGAGCGUUCUGUAAGCCGUUGAAGGUGGCCUGUGAGGGUUGCUGGAGGUAUCAGAAGUGCGAAUGCUGACAUAAGUAACGAUAAAGCGGGUGAAAAGCCCGCUCGCCGGAAGACCAAGGGUUCCUGUCCAACGUUAAUCGGGGCAGGGUGAGUCGACCCCUAAGGCGAGGCCGAAAGGCGUAGUCGAUGGGAAACGGGUUAAUAUUCCCGUACUUGGUGUUACUGCGAAGGGGGGACGGAGAAGGCUAUGUUGGCCGGGCGACGGUUGUCCCGGUUUAAGCGUGUAGGUGUGUGUUCCAGGUAAAUCCGGUUCACUUUAACACUGAGGCGUGACGACGAGGCACUACGGUGCUGAAGCAACAAAUGCCCUGCUUCCAGGAAAAGCCUCUAAGCCUCAGGUAACAUCAAAUCGUACCCCAAACCGACACAGGUGGUCAGGUAGAGAAUACCAAGGCGCUUGAGAGAACUCGGGUGAAGGAACUAGGCAAAAUGGUGCCGUAACUUCGGGAGAAGGCACGCUGACACGUAGGUGAAGUGGUUUACCCAUGGAGCUGAAGUCAGUCGAAGAUACCAGCUGGCUGCAACUGUUUAUUAAAAACACAGCACUGUGCAAACACGAAAGUGGACGUAUACGGUGUGACGCCUGCCCGGUGCCGGAAGGUUAAUUGAUGGGGUCAGCGCAAGCGAAGCUCCUGAUCGAAGCCCCGGUAAACGGCGGCCGUAACUAUAACGGUCCUAAGGUAGCGAAAUUCCUUGUCGGGUAAGUUCCGACCUGCACGAAUGGCGUAAUGAUGGCCAGGCUGUCUCCACCCGGGACUCAGUGAAAUUGAACUCGCUGUGAAGAUGCAGUGUACCCGCGGCAAGACGGAAAGACCCCGUGAACCUUUACUAUAGCUUGACACUGAACACUGGUCCUUGAUGUGCAGGAUAGGUGGGAGGCUUUGAAGUGUGGACGCCAGUCUGCAUGGAGCCAUCCUUGAAAUACCACCCUUUAAUGGCUGGUGUUCUAACGUGGACCCGUAAUCCGGGUUGCGGACAGUGUCUGGUGGGUAGUUUGACUGGGGCGGUCUCCUCCUAAAGAGUAACGGAGGAGCACGAAGGUUGGCUAAUCCUGGUCGGACAUCAGGAGGUUAGUGCAAUGGCAUAAGCAGCUUGACUGCGAGCGUGACGGCGCGAGCAGGUGCGAAAGCAGGUCAUAGUGAUCCGGUGGUUCUGAAUGGAAGGGCCAUCGCUCAACGGAUAAAAGGUACUCCGGGGAUAACAGGCUGAUACCGCCCAAGAGUUCAUAUCGACGGCGGUGUUUGGCACCUCGAUGUCGGCUCAUCACAUCCUGGGGCUGAAGUAGUCCCAAGGGUAUGGCUGUUCGCCAUUUAAAGUGGUACGCGAGCUGGGUUUAGAACGUCGUGAGACAGUUCGGUCCCUAUCUGCCGUGGGCGCUGGAAGAUUGAGGGGGGCUGCUCCUAGUACGAGAGGACCGGAGUGGACGCAUCACUGGUGUUCGGGUUGUCAUGCCAAUGGCACUGCCCGGUAGCUACAUGCGGAAGAGAUAAGUGCUGAAAGCAUCUAAGCACGAAACUUGCCCCGAGAUGAAUCUUCCCUGAGCCUUUAAGGCUCCUGAAGGAACGUUGAAGACGACGACGUGAUAGGCCGGGUGUGUAAGCGCAGCGAUGCGUUGAGCUAACCGGUACUAAUGAACCGUGAGGCUUAACCUU